UUUUUAAUUUUUAAAAAAUAUUUUUGUUUAUUUAUUCAUGAGAAACACACAGAGAGAGGCAGAGACACAGCAGAGGGAGAAGCAGGCUUCCUGCGGGGGAGCCUAAUGUGGGGACUUGAUCCCAGGACUCUGGGAUCACGCCCUGAACCAAGGGAUCAACCGCUGAGCCACACAGGCAUCCCAGCCUCUUGGAACAUUUUACUGUAAAAACCAUGAUAAUCUGGAUCCAUGUCAUGCCAAAUAUUCUGAUGAUGAGAAACAUCUGGAUUGUCAAUAACUAGUUAGCAAAACAUGACAACAAGGUCUGAUAUUUUUAUAUUUAAAUGUGUUUAGGUGCUGAAACCACUUCAAAUGUAGAUAGAAUUCAUUUGCUUGUUUCUAACCCUAUCAUGGUAAGAUCAUAAUGAACAUCAAUUGCUGGCUUACUUGAAUAACUUCCCCUACGCUUCCACCAUCAGGCACUUAGGCACUUAGAGCUUUAGUGUGAGUGUGCUUCUAGGGCAGGCUGUGGUCAUCUGCCUUUACUUAUCUCAGUAUCCCCAGCCCCUGGUACAGUACCUGGCACAGAGGAGGCACUCACUGUUGGUACCUGUAUCACUCUGUUGCCCUCCUGUAACUAAGUUCUUGUCAUCAGAGGAUAUUAGGGAGAGGGAGAUGUGAGCCUCUCUUACCUAAAUGAUUUUCUUGGGUCUCCACACUAUAUCUACUCAAAAUAAGAUGCUACAGUAAGUCACAAAGGAAUUCGGAAUUCGCAGGCUGUCUAGUAUGUCAUUAGAAAUGUGGGGUUAAGGAAAGGCACAAGGCAGAGAAAAGACAAAGACAGAUGUUACUUUGUUAUUGCAUUUCACUCAGAUGUAUCAAGAAAAUUGCCAAGAAAAGAGUCAUAGUUAAGUUUACAUUUUAGGUGAAUUUUUCUCUUUCAACCCUGUACUAGAUCGUGGGGCCAUAAGUAGUGGGUGGAGUUGAAAAUGAUUCAGUUGGAAAUGAAUUUCUUAAAAGAUUAUAGAGACUUCUCCCAACACAACCCCUGUUUUGUUUUGGGGCUCUCUCUCUCUCUCUCUGUGUAUGUUAUUUAAGAAAGGUCUGCAUAAUAUAAAGAUAUUUUGUGUAUUGUAUCAUUUACAACUAUAUCUUAUUACAGUGAUUUCCACAAUAAAUCCUUAUGGUGUGCACUGGGCUCGUAAUGUUUUCCCCCACUUCAUAAGAGUAGAGAAUAACUGGUGUUGGGAGGAAGUUGAGGUAGGUUAGGAAAUGACUUGUCAAGAUGUCAACCCAGGUUUUGAAUUCAAGCCUAGGGCUUGUUUUCACUCUGCCAUGAAGCUAACUGGGUCCCUGGAUUUGAUGUUGUGUUGUAUUUAGUUUGUCCCAAGGACAACCAAGUGCCAGGCAUUUUCACGGCAAAUACUGACCUUAUUGCAAAGAUGCUCAUUAAUGUUCCUUUUUAGGUUAGGACAAAAGCAGUUUAUCUUUCCAUAUCUACCUUCUGGUAUUCUUUCUUCAAACAAUAAUGCUUUGGAGGAAUGAUACCUAAGCUUGAAAAUCUGAAAUUUCAUUUAAGGACCCUAUUGACUAUGUGUCUGAUGGUGGAACUGUAACCAUUGUCUAAUGCCUUGGGACCCAGGUUUGCAUAACAUUCAUAACAUUUGAAAGGAAGCUGACCUCUUCAGGGCCAGACUUGAUACUUUGGUCUCCUCUUUUACAUCCUUCCUCACCCUCUGGAGCUCCUCCUCCCUGCAUGCUGUCAUUUCUCAGUAUCUGCUUAUCUUCCCUUUCCCUUCUGCCAUCAGGCACUUAGAGCUUUAGUGUGAAUUUAAGUCUGCCUUCGUCUCACUCAGAACUUGUCCAUUUUACUCAGUGGGGCAGCUGUGAAUCUGAAUCCUGGUUAGCUGACUGUGGACCUUGUGUCCUAUGAAUCUCAGAUUCUUUAUCUGUGAAUCAGGGACAAUUACAUACCUAUGGUGCUGAGUGUCAUCCAAGUGCUUCUUCAGACUCACUUCUCACUUUUCUCUAUUUUGCUAGAAGAUACAUCAUCAGUAGGCCUCCCUGCCCUCUGCCAUCUGGUUGGGUUUAGCCAGUAGAGAGCACCAGCAGGAGUUUGGAGCAUGGUAGGAGAGAGGUGGGGUAUUUACUCCCCUGGCUCCCACUCUGGGUCACUCCUAUUUGGCCAUAUCUCUUGUCAGGUGGCCCUCUCAAUACAUCUACUUUCUGGGUGCUAGUAACCAUCUGAACUCUUAUUCCUGCAGACCUAGAUGGAGGACACUCCUCACUUUUGCUCCCUCCAGGAUAUUAUUGUUUUCAGUUUUCCUAAACUCUGCUAUACAUGCUUGUAAAUAAUGUCUUUAUGGUCUUUUCAGUACUAGUUUAAGGGUGUCAACUCUUUCCUAUCAGGAAGUACAACUGUGAUAAUUAAAUGAGAAUAUAUUUGUAAGAUAUAUCACAGAAUGCAAAGUAUAUAUAUAUAUAUAUAUUCAAUAGGUGCCAUAUCUUUUCCUAGCUUACCUUCCUUUCAAUCUUUCACCCUUUCAAAUUUUGUCUUUAAUUAUAGAACUAAAGGCUCCAGUCUCACGUAAAUUUCAGAUAUUAUUUGGGUCCGAGCUGAUGGAUCCCUUUGAAGUUGAAGAAUCUUAAUCAAUAUUCUGAAAUCACUCAUGUAGGGCUGUUUGCUAAGUCUUGAUGGCUUUGCCAUCAAAGAAGGGAUAGCACUCUCUGAAUAAUGAAAGAACACUCCCAGACAAUUAAUAUAGAUAUUCCCCUCCGAACUGCUUGAUUUGAGAGCCAUGGACACAUGUCCCUCCACUCUAAAGACAGUAAGAAAAUAGAAAGGUCAGUAGGCCUGAGAAUUGUUCUUGGCAGAGUCACACUGGGUCGGCAGUACAGGGGCUGCUCCCCCUGGACCUGCAUUUACAGAUGUUGCAUGCAUGCAAUUCUCAUCACCUGCAGAUGAUGCUCCAGCCAGUGACUAAUUGAAUCUUAUUUGCUUCAUUGCUCACUGGGUGAUUGUAGUACUUUUCUUUUAAUUUAUGACA
rnacentral:lncRNA from 1 species